CUUCAUCAUAAUCAUGUUCAUUUAUUGCAAUUUCUCAUUUGUUGUAUGAAUAUGGGUUGAAUUGAAUGAAUGAAUAAUUAUUGCUAAAUUCGUGCUCUUGUUGUGAUGCUAUUUUCUUGUGCAUGAAUUGAUGAUAAUUGUAUGAUUGUUGGUGAAAUUACAUGUUCAAAUAUGUAAAAAUAAUAAGUUAUGAAAAUUGUGUUCAAUUGGUGAAUUUGGCUAAGUUGUUGUUAAUUGAGAUAUGAUUCAUGUUUUAAUUGAUGUUAUUGUUGUUAUUUGAUGUUGUUGUUGAUGAAUCACUGCUUGGGUAUGCAUAUUCAUGGAUUGAUGAUGAAAAUUUUGAAUUGUUGUUGGUGUUUUGGUGUGAAUAGAUAAUUUGGUGAAUUGGCUAAAAAUGAGUUUGAUUUUCAUGUUCAAUGUGUUUUUGAGUAUCCUUGUGAGUUAUAUGACCUAUAAACAAUCUUUGGAAACAUGUUUGGGCAUUGGGAGAUCAAAAUUGGGAGUUUUGGGUGAAAAAUGGGUGAAACCCGUAACUUUUGUUCUGCAGAAUUUUGAAUGGUCGCUUAAGCGACUCUGCAAGCGACGCUAGUUGCUAUCUGAUGAAUGCACGCUUAAGCGUGCAGUCACAGUAGCUACUGGAACUUGGACGCUUAAGCGUGCAGAACUUUUUCCAGCACUUUUAAAACUUUGUUCCGAGAUUCUGAGGGCCAAUUCGAACUUCUUAAAACAGUUCUUUUAACUUAUAUAAUCACUGUUUGUACAAUUAAUCCUACUGGAACACUUCCUUGAACAAGAAUUGGACUUGGUUUAUGAAAUUGAAUUCCAACUUUGAAAAUUGUCAAGAACGUUGAUUUUUCCGAAAUUUGAAAUUCAAGGAAAUGGAAUGGGAUUAAAGUAGUGUAGUGAUUAUAUGAUAAAUGAAAAUGAUUGAGAUUGGUUUCCUUGAGUUUUAUUUGAUUUUGGUUUUGAAAAUGGAAGAUUCUUGUAAAAUGUUAAAGAGAGACGAACAUUGAUGAAAAUAUCCUUUUAAGCCAAUUACCUUAUAAAUCUUUCAUAAUUAGUUUUGUAUGACUAUAUGGAAGUAUUUGAUUGUUAGUUGAGUGUUGAAUGUGAUGUUUAUCUUAAAGUGAUGUCUUUUCCUCUUACUUAGAAUAUGAGAAUUGUAUGGAAUGAGAUUAAUGUUGUUUAAUGAUUACUAAAUUUUCGAAAAUGGAUGAGAUUGGUUCCUUUGAACUUUACUUGGUUUUACUUUGAAAAAAGGAGAUGUAUGGAUGAAUUAUGAUAUAUUGGAUAUCAUAUUAACAUGAGGUGUUGUAUGUUCUCUUACUUGGUAUAUGAGAAAUAUUGUAAUGAUGAGAUGAUAUUGGUGAGUCCAUAUACAUUGUUAUUAUGAUAUGGUAUUGAUUAUGUAUGUGGUGAUGAAUUAUUGGUGUGAUUACCUAAAUGCAAAUAAAUAGUGGCAUAAAUGCAAAUAAAUAUUGGUAAUGAAUUAUUGGUGUGAUUGCAUAAAUGCAAGUAAUAUUGGUGAGAAUAUGGUAAAUUGUUUGUAUGAACAUAUGUAUUGUUGUUGAGAAAUAUGUUUAUGCAUACAUGACUGAUGGUGACGAAUUUUAUAUCCAAUGUGGUGAGUUGUUUGUGUGAACAUAUGUAUUGUUGUUGAGUCAUAUGUUCAUGCAUACAUGACUGAUGGAGACAUAUAUUUUUAUAUAUCCAAAUGGUGAGAUUAUGAUGUUCUGUCGGCAUCAUGGGCGACAGCCUAAAUAUUGGUGAGACUGAGACCGGUACCGCAUGCAUCUAGAAGAGUCUAGAACAUUGCAUGCAUUUGAUUGGUUGAUGAAGUAUGUCAUAAUUGAAUAUGUGACUUGAUGAAAUGUGAUUGGUGAUUGUUCAUGACUUAUGAUUGGUGAUUGUUCAUGAAAUGUGAUUAAUGAAUGUUCAUGGAAUAUGAUUGAUAUUUGUUCACGAUAUAUGUGAAUUGAUAUUUGUUCAUGACACAUGUGUUGAUGAUUAUUAAUGUGAGAUAUUGGGGUUUGAUGUAAGUAUUGAUAUGAGAAUAUUAUUAUUGAUCAAGUGCAUGAUGU
rnacentral:lncRNA from 1 species